rnacentral:rRNA from 1 species
GGUUGAUCCUGCCAGUAGUCAUAUGCUUGUCCUGAAGAUUAAGCCAUGCAUGUCCAAGUAUAAACACAAUUGUACGGUGAAACUGCGAAAGGCUCAAUAUAACAGUGAUAAUUCAAUUGAUGGUCAAAUGAUUACAUGGAUAACCGUGGUAAUUCUAGAGCUAAUACAUGCAUGAGGGCUAUGAGAUAAUAUCACAUGGCAGCAUUUAUUAGAUUAAAACCAACAACAAAUGGUGAAUCAUGAUAACUAUAGCGGAUCGCAUAUGUAUAUGCGACGCAUCAUUCAAAUUU